GCAGUUCUUCGCCUUGCAACUUGUCUUCGAUCAUUUCUCCAGUCAAAACAAGGGAAGACACCUUCAUCCCUAGGAGUUUAGUGAGCAUCUUUCAGCUUUCCGAACUCAUACUCAACUUCAAGCCUCAACCACCGCUACCGGAACUGAAACUCCUCCGCGCGGUCUCACAGCUAUUGCUUCCUCUCUGGGCCGAUUCAAAGGCGGAAACUGAGAUGUCAACAUGGAUCACCUUGCUUCUCAUACGAAGGCUUAGUCUCUUUUGCUCUGCUUACUUUGUCCCACUCCUCUUCUCUCUCCUUUAGAAUCGAGUUCCUUCGCACCUGGGCUGGCUGGUUAACCUAUUCUCAACGGUCUCGACUUCUAACCUCUGAGCGACUAGGUUCAACGGAGGAUAUUUUCCCCUCUGAAAUCCGGAGCUUGAUAUGGCCGGAAGAGAAGAGUACCGAAUAUUUGUCGGUGGUUUGUCGUGGGACAUCACGGAGCGUCAGCUUGAGAACGCCUUCAAUCGUUUCGACAAAUGGUGAUUAAGGGGGUUUCCCAUGUACAAAGUAGAAGAAUGGGCAGUAAACUGAAGUUUGAACUUGAGAGAUUUCUCAGUUUUGAUUUGUGUUCUUCUCCCUAUACUCAAACAAAUAAACACAAAGAAGGAC